rnacentral:misc_RNA from 1 species
AUUUAGCUCCCUUGUUAACAAGAUCAAGCCUUAUUUGGCUAUGGUGUCUUUGCAAUUUGGUUAUGCAGGGAUGUAUAUUGUCACCAUGAUGUGUUUCAAAAGAGGAAUGAGUCAUUGGAUUCUUGUUGUUUAUAGACAUGCAUUUGCCACCAUUGCUGUUGCACCCUUUGCUAUCGUUCUCGAAAGGAAAAUAAGGCCUAAG